rnacentral:rRNA from 1 species
AGAGUUUGAUCAUGGCUCAGGACGAACGCUGGCGGCGUGCUUAACACAUGCAAGUCGAACGAUGAAGCCCUUCGGGUGGAUUAGUGGCGAACGGGUGAGUAACACGUGGGCAACCUGCCCUCCACUCUGGGAUAACUCCGGGAAACCGGGGCUAAUACUGGAUAUGACUGCGGUCCGCAUGGGCUGUGGUGGAAAGUUUU